rnacentral:rRNA from 1 species
CAAUAGCCUAACGGCUGAACCAGCAACUUGGAGGAAUGUAUAGCGAUAGCUAAUUGCAUCGAAAAUAUGAUGCAAGAUCGAUUUAUUGAAUAAAAUUCUGGGUAGAAUUAUGAUUAUGACAUUGUCUACCCAUGUGUCUUGACCAAAUUACGUGCCAGCAGUCGCGGUAAUACGUAGAAGACUAGUGUUAUUCAUCUUUAAUAGGUUUAAAGGGUACCUAGACGGUAAAUCAAGCCCUAGACGGGACUAAUUUGCUAGAGUUACUUGUGAGGGGGUUUUAAAGUACUAAUGGUGUAGAGAUGAAAUUUUGUAAUACCAUUUUUCGAAAGGAAAGUAAUGGCACAGGUAUAGGCGAAAGCAUCCCCUUAUGUGAUAACUGACGUUGAAGGACGAAGGCUUUGAGUCGCGAACAGGAUUAGAUACCCUGGUAGUCAAAGCAGAAAAUAAUGAGUGUCAUAGAUUAGAUAUUAAAGUUUAUUCUAUAAAUGAAAGUGUAAGCACUCCACCUCAAGAGUAAUUUGGCAACAUUGGAACUGAAAUCAUUAGACCGUUUCUGAAACCAGUAGUGAAGUAUGUUGUUUAAUUUGAUAAUCCGCAAAAAACCUUACCACAAUUUGAAUAUUUAUAUCGUUGAUAUAAUUACAAGCGUUGCACGGCUGUCUUCAGUUAAUGUCGUGAGAUUUUGGUUAGAUCCAUUAAAUUAACGCAAGCCCUUACUUUAUUUUAAAAUAAAGUCGUUCCCCACUAGAUUGGAUAAGAUAACAGGGAUUAAGACAAGUCAUCAUGGCCUGAAUAUUGUGGGCUAU